GUGUGAACUCAGGAGGAAAUUGAAACUUCUUAGUUCUUACAAGGUUACACUGCCCAGAGGGAGCCAUGGCUGCAGAGAACCCCAUGGAAAGUCUGCAGGAGGAAGUGACAUGUCCCAUCUGUCUGGAGUAUUUUAAGGACCCAGUGAUUACAAACUGUGGGCACAAUUUCUGCCGAGCCUGCAUCAGCCAGUGCUGGGAGGGACCUGACACAGCCACCUCCUGCCCUCAGUGCAGAGAAACUGUGCAACAGGAAAACCUCAGGUCCAACAGGCAGCUGGCAAACAUGGUAGAAAUCACCAAUCGGCUGAGUUUACAGGCAAAUAAGGCAGUGAAGGGAGCAGAAGGAGAUGGGGUGUGUGGGGAACACCAAGAAGCUCUGAAACUGUUCUGCAAAGAGGAUGAAACUUCGAUCUGUCUGGUUUGCCAGCUGUCCUGGGCUCACAGAGCUCACACGGUGGUUCCCAUAGAGGAGGCUGCCCAGGAGUACAAGGAAAAACUUCAGGCCCAUUUGAAGACUCUGAGAGAAGAGAGAGAAAAACUGCUGGAAUCAAAAGUGACUGGAGAAGGGAAAAGCUGGGAGUAUCUGAUACAGACACAAACCGAGAGGCAGAAGAUUGUGUCUGAAUUUCAGCAACUGCGGCAGUUCCUGGAGGAACAAGAGCGACUCCUGCUGGGCCAGCUGGACAAGUUGGACGAGGAGAUUGUGUGGAUCCAGAAUGAAAAUGUCAGUAAAUUCUCUGAGGAGAUUUCCCAUCUCAGUGAGCUGAUCAGUGAGCUGGAGGGGAAGUGUCAGAAGCCAGCAAGUGAAUUCCUGCAGGAUGUCAGAAGCACCUUGAGCAGGUGUGAGAAGAGGAAGUUCCAGCAGCCUGAGGAGAUUUCUCCUGAACUGGAAGUGCGGGUCAGUGGUUACUUCCAGAAAACUAUUGCGCUAUUGGAGACUCUAAGGAAGUUCAAAGACACUCUGCCAUCUGAACUGGAGCCAAAAAGAGGGGAACCACUUGGAGCACACAGACGGGCGAAUGUGACUCUGGAUCCAGACACGGCUCAGCCUGACCUCAUUCUGUCUACGGAUUGGAAGAGUGUGAGAUGGGAAUACAAAUGGCAGGAUCUUCCCCACAACCCUGAGAGAUUUGAUACUGCGCUCUGUGUGCUGGGCUGUGAGGGAUUCACCGCGGGGAGACAUUGCUGGGAGGUGGAGGUGGGGGAUGGGGAACGCUGGGCUGUGGGGGUAGCCAGAGAGUCUGUGAGGAGGAAGGGGGUGAUCAGCCUCAGCCCUGAGGGGGGGAUCUGGGCUGUGGAGCGAUGGUGGGGUCAGUUCCGGGCUCUCACCUCCCCUGAGACCCCCCUGCCAUGGCACCAGGCCCCCAGCAGGAUCCGGGUUUGUCUGGACUGUGACCAGGGGCAGGUGACAUUUAUCGAUGUUGGUGACGAGGCCCCGAUCUUCACUUUCCCGCCGGGCUCCGUCCCUGGAGAGAGAAUCCGACCCUGGCUCUGGGUGGGGCCAGGAUCCCAGCUCAGACUGUGUCCCUGAGACACAGGGUGGGGUGUCAGGGUGUGUGUGUGUGUGUAAUAUCCCACUGGGGGUCCUGAGAUCAGCCUCUCUAGCCUCACAGUCUCUGUGACCCUGGAAGUUGCUUCGGGUCUCAACUCUGUGCAGCCUCCUGACUGUCAAACCAUAGAGAGCAUUCAGUGAGCGAGGUAGAGAAGCCAAUCUCAUUGCCCUAGAAAAAAAAGGCUGAUCACCCACUGGGGGGCAGCUCCUUUUCCCCCAUCCCUCGGCCGCCCUGCCAGGGGUGGGCCCCGCCAAUCAGCUCCUCAGUAUCCCCUCCAGAGCCUCCCACCCACCACCAUCAGGUGUUUAGUGGCAUGCCGAAGGCGAUGGAUGGGGCAGACCUGGGCAAUGCAUGGCCCAGAUGCCGCCAGUGGAAGGACCGGCACCAGCCCCUGCCAGGCCAGCCGCUGAGACACUGCUCUGCAUCCCUGUGUGGCAGCUGCCUGAGAAAGCCUGGCUGGGGAGGUGAUUUCUCGUCUCUACCUGGGCUCAGCUGCCAGAGGUUUGGCACCCGAGCCCAGGUAGGGAGCAGAAGUGGCCUUUCCAGUCAGACUCUCUCAGGCAACCGCCCCAGCAAGAGGGGCUGGUGUUAAAAGGCGUCUUCUUCCUGCUCCUCCCCGGGCUCCUGCCCGCCAGAGACAGAGGCAGAACAUGCCGUAAGGAGGAGUCAAUGAAGCGGGAGGAAAAUGCACACAUGCACCCCGCAGGUAGCAUGGGGCCGGGAGAGCGUGGUGGCCCCGAGGCUGGGUGCGGGGGCACGAGACCCGCUCUUUAGAUCAUGCCCCCCCCACUACAAGGAGACACCAGUUGAAUAUGGAGCACCCUGGGGGAGGGAGUGAGAAGGGGUGGAGUGGGGGGGUGGGGCAUAGGAUGGAGUGGGGGGGUCGGGCACCCUCCAGAAAAUCUAGAAGUCGGUGCCUAAGUAGACAAGCCGAUCUCAUCACUGCCCCAGGAAUUGUGCAGUCUGUUUGCCACUGUUCUCUAUGGUUCAGGAGGACUCUGGGGAUCCUGGGUCAGACAGUGACACUGAGACAUGAGGGGGAACAGCCCACUGGGCAUGGAAAAAUGGGUUUCUCUAGCCAAGUUAUCCUAGCCCCUAUGGCCUGGAGGACUCCAGUCUACCCAGCCAUCUGGUCUCUUAGCUCUAUGAGCCCUGGAAGCUCCUCCCCACUCCCUCCUUGCAGCACCAUGGAUGGAGGGGAGAGGGGCAGGGAAGGGCCAGUGGAAUUACAGGAGGAGCAGAGGGGCAGAGGUGGGGGCUGAGCAAGGGGUAGAAUUAAGAGCCGGACUGCGGACAGGCAGGUGUGGGAUGGAGGGACACAGAUUUAAUUAACUGUGGUUUUGGGGAGAAGCUGGCCCAAGAGGGAAACCCCUGGAAACACAGGGGCUGAGGGAUUGGCUGGCUGGUAUGCAUGAGGCAGGAAGCCAGGAGAAGCAGUCGUGAGCCUCGUCUCAGCAGGAAACUGAGAGACAGAACUUGCUUCAGGCACAGGGUCCCCUGGAAAGGCAAACGUGCAUUUCUGAGUAAGGAAACUGCCGGCUGCUGUUUGUUUCUACUGUGUUCAGAGCACAGGAAUGUGCGGACAUUGUUUGUAAAUAAUAAAGAUGGCACCAAA